ensembl:lncRNA
AGGGAGCCAGGCCCAAAGGAGCAGCUGGACGCCAUAUUCAGACGUCUGGAGGAGCAGGUCCUGAGGUUUGUCCAACAGCAGCUCCAGAGGCUCCACAGGCUCCUGGCCUCAGAUUACCCAGAAUGUUCCGAGAGUGAGGAGGAGGAGAGCAGAGAGGUUCUGAACAUCACCCUGGACUUCCUGAAGAGGAUGGACCAGGAGCGUCUGGCCCAGUGUCUGUUCAACAGUAAGAACCUCCAGAUGCCCUCCCAUCUCUCCCAUAUCCCUGUGUCAGAUGCCCUCCC